AUCACAUUUUCAUUACUCACGACAAUCCCAGCAGUCCCACGUGAAGCCACUGACCAAGUGGGAGCGGGAACGGGUCAAAUUAAUUUACGUGUUUUUGUUAUGAAGAAGAG